CUACAAUUUACACAGAAACCAGAGAGUCAGUUAAAGCUCCUCUGAUGCCUUCUUGUGGAGUGAAGCUAUGCGGAGGAUUACAAAACAAUCAAGGAACAUUAUUCAGAGAGACGCGGAUGGCGAGAAGAAAAGUCUGUAGGAGUUUUGAGCAAGGAAGGAUUAUUAAGUCACGUAGAGACUACCUAAGUCACUGGGCGCUGAACAUUGGGAGAAAAAUGCAUUUACCAUCACAAAGCAGCAAAUUAACAGCACAAGUAAAUCUGUGUGCAGUUAGCUGUCCUGGAAGGGUUGCUGCUCACAGUUUGAAGUAAUAAACUUGGAAAUUUUCUUUUUGUAGUUACUAAAGAAACAAAAUCAAAAUGAGAAAAAUUUUUAUCAAUUAUUC
rnacentral:lncRNA from 1 species